rnacentral:rRNA from 1 species
CUUGACGACCAUAGAACAUUGGAACCACCUGAUCCCAUUCCCGAACUCAGAAGUGAAACGAUGUAUCGCCGAUGGUAGUGUGGGGUUUCCCCAUGUGAGAGUAGGUCAUCGUCAAGA